rnacentral:rRNA from 1 species
UGAACGCUGGCGGCGUGCUCAACACAUGCAAGUCGAACGAGAAAGCUCCUUCNGGGAGUGAGUACAGUGGCGAACGGGUGCGUAACACGUUGGUGACCUGCCUUGAGGAGGGGGACAACCGUGGGAAACCACGGCUAAUACCCCGGAUGUCUAAACUGUUAGAGGGUUUAGACUAAAACUUCGGUGCCUCAGGAGGGGCCUGCGGGCUAUCAGCUUGUUGGUGGGGUAAUGGCCUACCAAGGCUAAGACGGCUAGGGGGCGUGAGAGCGCGACCCCCCACAAUGGAACUGAGACACGGUCCAUACUCCUACGGGAGGCAGCAGUGAGGAAUAUUGCGCAAUGGGGGAAACCCUGACGCAGCAACGCCGCGUGACCGAUUGAAGCUUUUAGGAGUGUAAAGGUCUGUCGUGAGGGAAGAAAAAGACCGAGAAUAAUAAGUUCGGUAAUUGACGGUACCUCACAAGCAAGCUCCGGCUAACUUCGUGCCAGCAGCCGCGGCAAUACGAGGGGAGCAAGCGUUGUCCGAAAUAACUGGGCGUAAAGGGUACGUAGGCUUUUUUGUAUGUUUCCGGUGAAAUUCACAGGCUCAACUUGUGACUUGCCGGAAAAACUGCAGAGAUUGAAUCCGGAAGGGGAAAGCGGAAUUCCUGGUGUAGCGGUGAAAUGCGUAGAUAUCAGGAGGAACACCAGUGGCGAAGGCGGCUUUCUGGUCCGGAAUUGACGCUGAGGUACUAAAGCGUGGGUAGCAAACAGGAUUAGAUACCCUGGUAGUCCACGCCCUAAACGAUGGAUACUUGAUGUCGGGAUGUUCGGUCGUCUCGGUGUCGUAGCUAACGUGUUAAGUAUCCCGCCUGGGGACUACGGUCGCAAGACUGAAACUCAAAGGAAUUGACGGGGGCCCGCACCAGCGGUGGAACAUGUGGUUUAAUUCGAUGCAACGCGAAGAACCUUACCUGGGCUUGACAUAUAUAUGAAGUAUGUAAGAAAUUAUGUAUUCUGUCUGCAUUUGCAGGUAGCAUAUAUACAGGUGAUGCAUGGCUGUCGUCAGCUCGUGUCGUGAGAUGUAGGGUUAAGUCCCUUAACGAACGCAACCCUUGCUUUUAGUUGCCAUCAGGUAAUGCUGGGGACUCUAGAAGGACUGCCGAGGUUAACUCGGAGGAAGGUGGGGAUGACGUCAAGUCAGUAUGUCCCUUAUGUCCAGGGCUACACACGUGUUGCAAUGGACGGUACAGAGUGCAGCUACGCCGUGAGGCUACGCAAAUCACUUAAAGCCGUUCCCAGUUCGGAUUGGAGUCUGCAAUUCGACUCCAUGAAGUUGGAAUCGCUAGUAAUCGCAGAACAGCAUGCUGCGGUGAUACGUUCCCGGGCNUUGUACACACCGCCCGUCACGCCAUGGAAGUUGGGAGUACCCAAAG